rnacentral:rRNA from 3 species
AGCCUGAUGCAGCCAUGCCGCGUGUAUGAAGAAGGCCUUCGGGUUGUAAAGUACUUUCAGCAGUGAGGAAGGUGGAUGUGUUAAUAGCGCAUUCAUUUGACGUUAGCUGCAGAAGAAGCACCGGCUAACUCCGUGCCAGCAGCCGCGGUAAUACGGAGGGUGCGAGCGUUAAUCGGAAUUACUGGGCGUAAAGCGCAUGCAGGUGGUUUGUUAAGUCAGAUGUGAAAGCCCGGGGCUCAACCUCGGAAUUGCAUUUGAAACUGGCAGACUAGAGUACUGUAGAGGGGGGUAGAAUUUCAGGUGUAGCGGUGAAAUGCGUAGAGAUCUGAAGGAAUACCGGUGGCGAAGGCGGCCCCCUGGACAGAUACUGACACUCAGAUGCGAAAGCGUGGGGAGCAAACAGGAUUAGAUACCCUGGUAGUCCACGCCGUAAACGAUGUCUACUUGGAGGUUGUGGCCUUGAGCCGUGGCUUUCGGAGCUAACGCGUUAAGUAGACCGCCUGG